AUGGCUUUCUCUUAUAGAAUGAUCCUUUUCAGAGUUCUGCUCCUUGUUCUAAUCAUUUUUGUAACAUCUCAACCAGGAGGAGUGGAUUGCAGACCAUUAUUCAUACAUUACUACGAAUGGUCUUCUUGGGGUAAUGGACUUCUCUUGCAAUCUCUUCCAAACGCUCCUGCACCUCCUUCAACCGGAGAUCAUACUCAUCCUUAA